rnacentral:lncRNA from 1 species
UUCCUCUUGGGAGAUCCUGGUGGUCUUCAUCUAUGCAGUGGUUUUGAAGAGGGAGGCUACUAGAGACCUACUUAUAAUUAUUACAGUGGUAUUUGGGGACAGGGAUUAGGUGGUGAUAGAAACUGAAAGGCCAUUUAGCUGAGGAUAAGUCAGCUUCCUAGGACAGUUUGAGAUCCUAAUUCAUAAUAGCAUUUUCCCUUUUCCUAUUCCCAAGAAAUACAUUGAUAGUAUCCAGGGAAUCUACUUGCUACUGUAAUGGGAACAUGAUUUUUAUUUUAUGUUCUGUAGACUUUAAUUGGAGGGAUCGUGUUCCCUAAACAGAUGGGACCAGGCUUCUGUGGGGAGUCAGUGAGAUGCAAUGGGGAAGGCCAGCCUGAUGCCCGCUCUGACCCUGAGCAGGGUGAGUUUGUAGAUUGUACCUUGUCUUGGCCUCAGUUUCCUUUUCAUAAUUUAAGAUCUUCAUGUUAGGUUAUUAUAUCCGUUGGAUUCUCUAGAGCAAUGCUAUGACCAUUUAAUUUACCUCAUGGUAUGGUAACCUCCAGCCAUAAAAUUAUUUCAUUGCUACUUCAUAACUGAAUCAUAAUGUAAAUGUCUGAUAUGCAGGAUAGCUGAUAUGUGACUCCCAAAGAGGUCAUGACCCACAGGUUGAGAAACACUGCUCUGGAAGAAUUCCAUGUACAUAUAUAUAUUCCAUAUGUACACAUGGAAUAUAUAUACACACAACUAUAUUACACACACACACACACACACAUACACACACACACACGGUGGCUUACAAGCUGUAGUCCAGCUAAUCUAAUACUGGCUGUCUUGUAGUUGUUCAGUUCUAAGUCUGGCUGUCUCAGCUGGUGCUCAGUCUUCAUUGGAAUCCUAAGAAGUAGGCUUUACUAUUAGAAAAGAAGGGUCUCAGCAGCCGGAUAAUGAACUUGCCAGGAAGAAAAAAAGGGCAAGCAGGAAAAAAGCAAAAUACUUCCUUCUUUCAUAUCCUUGUAUAUGGGCUGCCACCAGAAGAUGUGUCCCAUAUUUAAGAUGCAUAUUCAGACCUCAGAUGAUCCAGGUUUAGGGUGUUCCCACAUCAAGUUAUCCUAUCGAGAAAAUCCCCAAUGAGACUGCCCAGCUGCUUGGGUUGAUUGUAGAUUUAGUGAUGUUGACAACCAGAGGUCAGCCAUCAUCAUUAUUUUAAAAAGC